GAAUUGGUUUCUUCUUCAAUUUGAUUUUCUUAAUAUUUUCUUCAAUUUGUUUAAGAUUUGGAAUUGGUUUCUUCUUCGAUUUGUUUUCAUAGUAUAACAAACCCUUUGAUUUGUUUGGAAUCAUGUAUGUCUGUGAAUCAAAUACCUUAUAUUAUGCAUAUUUAUUUGAUUUUUUAUGUUGCGAAUUGUGAUUCAGCAAAUCUUCACUCUUUUUUUCCUAUUAAUCAUGAAUUUGUAUGAUUUUUAAUGUUGUUCCAUGGUGUUGAUCAUUUGAGGAAUUGUUGUUAUAAUCAAUUGUAUGAUUCGUAUCAGUUCUAUUUGAUUCCUGGAUUCUACCUUCAAUUGUAUGAUUCCAUCUUCACUGCUACUUUAAUUUUCUGUCAUUUCAUUUUCUAGCAAAAGCAAAUAAAUUAUAUGUAGGACCAGAAGUGAAAAUCCAUUUCAACAGGUUCGUUUUUACUGACCGAUGUUGAUGCUGUUGCAAGCGUUCGUGUCAUUCCCAGCUGAACUAGGUUAGCAUUUGUACAUCUAAGUAUCAUUGCAUUGAAAAGCAUAUCAUUUAGAUGUGUUAAUGCUAACCAAAUUUAGGCUAGGAAAACGGUUAUUGGAGCUUCUGCUUAUGUUCUCAUUCUUCAGGUUCAAGCUAAGAUCCUUGCUUUUAAGUUGGUAAAAAGUGACUUUUGCUUCAAAGGUAUGAAGUUCUGAAAUGGCUUACUUGCUUUUAAGUUCUUUGUGUAUUUUGUACCUAAUGUUUCAGGGAUUUCAGAUAUUAGUCAUAAGAUUUGGCUAAAUCAAUGCUAUUUUUUGACCAAAUCCGAAAGUUGUAGCCAGUUCAGAUUGACAGAGUGAUAUGGUUGUAUUUGGUUUACUUCCAUCCAUUUUAUAUAAAACUUGGAGAAUCAAACUACUAAACUGUAUCUUGCUUUAGAUAAUGUUUGAGUUGCUUAUCAAGGAUUUAGGGUAACAUUUGUUAAUUGCAGUUGGAGGAGAACAAUUUGAAUCAAAUAAAACAUUUAUGAAAAUGAAUCGAGGAAAAUAAUACUGGUAACUGUUCCGGCAACAAAUUUUUCGUUCUGUGCUUCGUUUACGAUGCCUUGCUGCGGUGGACUUAUAUGCUUCAACUUUUUUAAGAUCCAUUCACACUACUAUCUACGGAGAUCACCACAAUAUCAUCAAAGGUGUGUUAUCUAUCUGUUUGGGUAUACGUAAGAACUUUUCAAUUGAAAUGAAAUUGGCAUUUUCAAGCUGUAUAAUGCAAUCGGCAUCACCACUUUGAAAAACAAUCAUUUACCAUGCUCCGGCCCUGCAAGAAAUGGACUUGAUAUCUGAAUGAGAGUACUUUUCUUAUAGACCUAUCAUGUAAGCGUAAAAGCUAUUUUCAAUCCUGAUUGUGGCUUUUGUACAAAUUGCUUCUUAAAAAACCAUUAAUGAAAUUUAUUAUUUUACCA